GGGGGUGCACUGGUUUCGACGGGGGUGUGGAAACCGGAUAAGCGAGCCGAAGUUGCCUGGCUUCGUAAAAACGGGCACGUUAAAGAUAAACGCAAAAACUAACAACAAUUUCGCACUGGCAGCUUAGUUCUGCCCCGCGCGCACGUCUCCGUUCACCUGCAGGCGGUGAGCCGUGCGUCGAUCAUGCAGGAAAACCUCAUGCGUGAUCCCGGCCGUGUGAGGGACUAACGGGAUAGUCAAAGCAGCAGCCUGCUUUUGGGCGUCUGCCGAGGCGAAAUCAUAAAACAAAAGCUGCGCUCGGAGAAAAUCCGGCAGAAAUGCUUUCGGACAGGGGUUCGAUUCCCCUCAUCUCCACCA
rnacentral:tmRNA from 1 species